CUCGAAACGCGAUUGGGAUAGUUUUGGCCUAGUUUUGAGUAGCGAUUGGGCGGGUUUUCUUGUGAAAACCUGGCAACCCUGAUUCUCUCAGAACCACGGCCUGUGACUGGAAAGAGUCAGCUUUUAUCAGGAAAAAAAAAACACCCACCAAAACAGCUUCGAUCCUGUGAGGACAGAAGAAUCUAGAAAACACAGUCUAAUUCACCAUCAGGGACCGAGUCCGGAAAGCAUCUCAAAAAAGAUCCUCCCUCGUAUCAACAAUUGUAAUUCCUCCUGGCCUCAUGAUGUUUAUAAAGGCGAGUCCACAAUCUGACCCGCACCUUACCGCCAAAGUCAUCUGUAAGAAGAAUCUCAUUUCAGCUCUUUGGACAUCAUGGAGGGUCGACUACGCCACGACACAAGAUUCAGCUACAUCCUCAGAAGCAGCCUGCCCUCCUCUAACCUGACCACCAAUUCAGUCAAUGCCACACAUGUCUUCAGUGUGUUCGAUGGGUGUGAAGAAAUGGUGGCCGGUGUUGUUUUUGACCUAGCCAUACAAUGCUUCAACGUGAUCAUAGGAAUACCUGCCAACAUCCUGGUUCUUGCAAACCUAAUAAAGACCCGAAAUGAACCAUUAACUUCCGACAUCUUCCUGGGCUGCCUGGCUUUCAUGGACGCCUACUUUGGAUUCAUGACAAUCAUAGCGUUCCUCACUUUCUACCACUGGAGGAGCGCUAUGGGUUGGAGAGCUAUGAAGUUCUCAUACGGCGUGAAGGACACCAGUGGGCCGCUCUUCCUCUCCUGCGUCUGUCUGGAUCGCUUUAUAGCUGUUGUCUUUCCCAUUGCAUUCGGACAACUGAAGGACAUCAAAUACAGGAUCAGCCUUACCAUCGUGGUUCUGCUGCUCACUUUUGCUUAUGCUUCAGCCAAAACCAUUGGUGGCAUCCACAACUUUGAGAAGGUUUUCACUGGUGAGGUCUUGUUUGCUUUCACCUGGAUGGUGGUGUGUAACGUGGCCAUCCUCUGGGCCCUGAAACGCUCACGAGGUUCUGGUAAAGAUGAGAUGAAUCCUAUGAAAAGAAAGGCCUUUAAGAUGGUGCUGUCUAUCUUGAUCAUAAUCAUAAGCAACUAUCUCCCUCCAGUGGCUCUGUUCCCCUUUGAAGACCAUUAUCCCCAAAAGGUCUUCACUUGCUAUGUGCAGCCAGUAUGUUAUGCCUUUGUAAACAUCAGCAGCACUGUCCAGCCUUUAACUUACUUAUCCCGCUUAGAGAAAGUACCAUUCUUGCCUGAAUCUUGUGUGGAGAAGUUAAG
ensembl:lncRNA